CCUACGGGUGGCUGCAGUGGGGAAUAUUGGACAAUGGGGGGAACCCUGAUCCAGCCAUGCCGCGUGUGUGAAGAAGGCCCUCGGGUUGUAAAGCACUUUCAGUGAGGAAGAACGCCUGGUGGUUAAUACCCAUCAGGAAAGACAUCACUCACAGAAGAAGCACCGGCUAACUCCGUGCCAGCAGCCGCGGUAAUACGGAGGGUGCGAGCGUUAAUCGGAAUUACUGGGCAUAAAGCGCGCGUAGGUGGCUUGAUAAGCCGGUUGUGAAAGCCCCGGGCUCAACCUGGGAACGGCAUCCGGAACUGUCAAGCUAGAGUGCAGGAGAGGAAGGUAGAAUUCCCGGUGUAGCGGUGAAAUGCGUAGAGAUCGGGAGGAAUACCAGUGGCGAAGGCGGCCUUCUGGACUGACACUGACACUGAGGUGCGAAAGCGUGGGUAGCAAACAGGAUUAGAUACCCCGGUAGUC
rnacentral:rRNA from 1 species